ACUUUUGCGAAACCGAAAAGCAGUCGCAAUUCGAGUAUAGAGGCUUUUGCUGUUUGCGAAAAUUACACUCCACCAGAAGGAUUUAACCCGGGAGAUCUGCACCGUCUCUUGGAGAAAGUCGGAAGCCCUUCAGGUGGAAGCGAUCUCGAUUGCAGCAGUGGUUGGCUUGAAGGACCCAACAAAGUUUAUAUACCAUUCUUGGCAUGUGGUGACUUAACCGGUUACGACUCAGACCGGUCUUACCCACUCCCUAAAGAAGCAGAUGGAUCUUCAUACCAGAGUUUGGACCCGAUUCAACCUCCGAUCGCACCACCUUAUAAACGAGCUCUUGAGCUCAAGAAAGCUUCAGCACAAAGCUUCAACUCUUGAGGUUUGAUUCAAACUAAAGAAAAAACUAAACAGACUUUUCAUUGGAUUCUUUAAAAGCCUGUAGAGUUUAGGGACCUACAAUUCCUAUAACGCUUAAAUGAUUGUUAAGAUGAGCUUUUAUGUUUUAAAAUAUACAAGUAUCAGAAUUUCAAGUUAAAUAUUGUUUACUUUUAA